ACGUUCGCUUUGCUCGAAAUCAGUUAUUUCCAUUUGGCCACGGGGGCUGUGGAUAGUAAACUCCGCCGAGUGGACCGUGAGCCGCAGUUGUGUCCGUUCUGGAGGCAGGAAAGACUAGACCCAUGAUGCAGAGCACCAGAAAAUAAGACUGAUAAUCAACAGACUUCAGAAUGGACAUAUUAGCCUUCUAGAAGUGCUAACUUCUGACCUAGACCUCACUGGUUCUGUGUGCACAGCUGAUCACUGUGGACAAUGCCUCGCCCCUGGUGGUGUAGUUACUGGUGCUCACGCCUGGAGUUCAAUCAGCGUUCUGAUUGUUACCUGUCCCAUGGCACCCAGACACUUCCGGGGAAGUACACGCAAUGCGGGUGCCUGACAAUGUGAGCACAAUACGGAGAAUUUAGAAUACAAGAAGAUGAAUCCUUAGCCAUCAUGUCUUACUCAGUGAUGGGAAGUUGUGCUCAUUUCUGGGCUUCACAACUUGAGAGAAACAGAGAACUUGGAGGGUCUUCAAAGGAAUCGUGACCCUGAAUACCUCAUUUGCAAGAUGGCAGAACUACCAUCAGCCUGGGUUCCUGAGUGGCCACAAGGAUCAGAGUUGCCUGCUGGCACGAAAUUCUGACCUUGGAGUUGUUACAUAAGAGAGGAAUAAAUUUCUUUGCUCUUUGA